UUGUGUGGACAUUCAAAGACAUAGAGUCUGGAUUAAACUGAGAAAGGGACUGGACUUGUCUCUGUUUCUCAUCAUUGAGGACCAUAUUGUAGACACAGUCAAGGGUUGGAGGGGGCUGCAUCAUCAGUAGAUUACUCCUUACCCCUAUGUAUGCUUCAUUAAGGCUCAUUAGAAACUGAAACACCUUAUUCUCAUCAUCUUCCUGUAUUAUGCCAUUUUUGGCAGCACANNNNNNNNNNNNNNNNNNNNNNNNNNNNNNNNNNCAUUUUUGGCAGCACAAACACAUCUUUGCCCAUGAUUUGUACACAUUGUUCCUAAUUCAUCCCACAGUCCUUUAAGUUUGUUAAAAUAUGAGGCUACAUUUAGAGACCCUUGAGAAGUGUGAGAAAGCUCUCUUUUUAGUUCAAAAAUUUUGGUCCUGUUGGCAGUGCCAUAUCUGGUCUGAAGCUGUGACCAUAUACUCUGUGUAGUAUCAGAAUACUGCACACUUUCAGCAAUUUGAGGGGACAGGGAGGUAGUUAACCAGGAGAUUACCAUAUUAUUGCAUCUGUCCCACAACCUUUGCUCAGCCACAUUAGUGACUGGCCAGGGACAUGUGCCAUCAACAAAGCCAAUUUUAUUUUUAGCAGACAGUGCGACAAUCAUUUUCCUCCUCCAACCCCCAUAACCACUGCUCGAGAAGGGAGUGGACACAAGAGAAACUCCAGGAACAUCAGAGGAGUAAACAAAAAGGGGGCUGGUAGAGUCCACGGAGGAGGUAUUAACAUUCAUAUUAGAAGUCAUGAAUAAUAACCAGUUUGAAAUCAAAAACAAUCUUGGUAAACAGGCUAAAGUUGAAUCAGAACCCACAUGCAAAUUAUACAACACUUAGAACAAGGAUAGAGUUACCCUCCUUCUUCGCGACCGGAGAAGAACGGCCUUCAAUCGCCAGAUAAAACCCUAGGUCCGACCAUAGGAAACCGUAGGGUCUGAAAACUUACCGGAAUAGGGUCAGGGACGUUGGAAAAUCACCCAAAAUAUCCACCGAGUGAGGAUCGAGCCAUCGGAUAGCAGUAAAACCCUAGGUCCGAACACCGGAAACCCUAGAAUCUAGAAAGUCACCGGAAUAAGGUCAGGGAUGUCGGAAAAUCACCCAAAAUAUCCACUGAGUGAAGAUCGAAGCAUCAAAUAGCAGUAAAAGUUCCGAUUAUCUGUUCAAUACCACAUCGUUCUCUCGGUAAACAGAAUCUCUCACAAAUAUCCAAGAAAACCCUUAAGUAGAACUUCCAACACGAUCAAUAACAAGUAACGGAGAAGAAUCCGAGGAUCAUCUCAUAGAAUCUGGAAAAUUACCGGAAUAAGAUCAGGGAUGUCGGAAAAUCACCCAAAACAUCCACUGAGUGAAGAUCAAACUAUCAAAUAGCAAUAAAAGUUCCGAUUAACUGUUCAAUACACAUCCAUCUCUCGGUAAACGGAAUCUCUCACAAAUAUCCAGAGAAAAACCUUCAAUAGAACUUCCGACAUG
rnacentral:lncRNA from 1 species